rnacentral:tRNA from 3 species
UAAAAAACCCCGCAUUGCGGGGUUUUUUUAUAGUGAAAUUAAGAAAAUAGAAUCAAAUCACAUUUUCUUAAUUUCACUAUUUCUGCC